rnacentral:rRNA from 1 species
GACGAACGCUGGCGGCGUGCUUAACACAUGCAAGUUGAACGGAAAGGCCCUGCUUUUGUGGGGUGCUCGAGUGGCGAACGGGUGAGUAACACGUGAGUAACCUGCCCUUGACUUUGGGAUAACUUCAGGAAACUGGGGCUAAUACCGGAUAGGAGCUCCUGCUGCAUGGUGGGGGUUGGAAAGUUUCGGCGGUUGGGGAUGGACUCGCGGCUUAUCAGCUUGUUGGUGGGGUAGUGGCUUACCAAGGCUUUGACGGGUAGCCGGCCUGAGAGGGUGACCGGCCACAUUGUGACGGAGAUACGGCCCAGACUCCUACGGGAGGCAGCAGUGGGGAAUAUUGCACAAUGGGCGGAAGCCUGAUGCAGCAACGCCGCGUGCGGGAUGACGGCCUUCGGGUUGUAAACCGCUUUCGCCUGUGACGAAGCGUGAGUGACAGUAAUGGGUAAAGAAGCACCGGCUAACUACGUG